rnacentral:rRNA from 1 species
GACGAACGCUGGCGGCGUGCUUAACACAUGCAAGUCGAACGGAAAGGCCUCUUUCGGGGGGUACUCGAGUGGCGAACGGGUGAGUAACACGUGAGUAACCUGCCCUUGACUUUGGGAUAACUUCAGGAAACUGGGGCUAAUACCGGAUAGGAGCUCCUGCUGCAUGGUGGGGGUUGGAAAGUUUCGGCGGUUGGGGAUGGACUCGCGGCUUAUCAGCUUGUUGGUGGGGUAGUGGCUUACCAAGGCUUUGACGGGUAGCCGGCCUGAGAGGGUGACCGGCCACAUUGGGACUGAGAUACGGCCCAGACUCCUACGGGAGGCAGCAGUGGGGAAUAUUGCACAAUGGGUGGAAGCCUGAUGCAGCAACGCCGUGUGCGGGAUGACGGCCUUCGGGUUGUAAACCGCUUUCGCUCAUGACGAGCUUUGUGUGACGGUAGUGGGUAAAGAAGCACCGGCUAACUACGUG